rnacentral:rRNA from 1 species
UACAGAGACUGCAAGCGUUAUUCGGAUUCACUGGGCGUAAAGGGUGCGCAGGCGGCCGUGUGUGUGAGGCGUGAAAGCCCGGAGCUCAACUCCGGAAUUGCACCUCAAACUACACGGCUAGAGCAUUGGAGAGGGUAGCGGAAUUCACGGUGUAGCAGUGAAAUGCGUAGAUAUUGACAGGAACACCAGUGGCGCAAGCGGCUAUCUGGACCAACAUCGACGCUGAGGCACGAAAGCGUGGGGAUCAAACAGG